rnacentral:rRNA from 1 species
UACAGAGGGUGCGAGCGUUGUCCGGAAUCACUGGGCGUAAAGGGUGCGUAGGCGGGUCUUUAAGUCAGGGGGGAAAUCCUGGAGCUCAACUCCAGAACUGCCUUUGAUACUGAGGAUCUUGAGUUCGGGAGAGGUGAGUGGAACUGCGAGUGUAGAGGUGAAAUUCGUAGAUAUUCGCAAGAACACCAGUGGCGAAGGCGGCUCACUGGCCCGAUACUGACGCUGAGGCACGAAAGCGUGGGGAGCAAACAGG